rnacentral:rRNA from 1 species
GAUGAACGCUGGCGGCGUGCCUAAUACAUGCAAGUCGAGCGAACAGUCGAGGAGCUUGCUCCUCUGACGUUAGCGGCGGACGGGUGCGUAACACGUGGAUAACCUACCUAUAAGACUGGGAUAACUUCGGGAAAUCGGAGCUAAUACCGGAUAAUAUAUUGAACCGCAUGGUUCCAUAGUGAAAGACGGUUUUGCUGUCACUUAUAGAUGGAUCCGCGCCGCAUUAGCUAGUUGGUAAGGUAACGGCUUACCAAGGCAACGAUGCGUAGCCGACCUGAGAGGGUGAUCGGCCACACUGGACCUGAGACACGGUCCAGACUCCUACGGGAGGCAGCAGUAGGGAAUCUUCCGCAAUGGGCGAAAGCCUGACGGAGCAACGCCGCGUGAGUGAUGAAGGUCUUCGGAUCGUAAAACUCUGUUAUUAGGGAAGAACAAAUGUGUAAGUAACUAGGCACGUCUUGACGGUACCUAAUCAGAAAGCCACGGCUAACUACGUG